rnacentral:rRNA from 1 species
GACGAACGCUGGCGGCGUGCCUAACACAUGCAAGUCGAACGGGGAUAUUUAAGUAGCAAUACUUGGUUAUCCUAGUGGCGGACGGGUGAGUAACGCGUGAGCAAUCUACCUAGAAGAGGGGGAUACCAACCGGAAACGGUUGCUAAUACCGCAUGACAUAGGAGGGGGGCAUCCUUUUCCUAUCAAAGGAGCAAUCCGCUUUUAGAUGAGCUCGCGUCCGAUUAGAUAGUUGGCGGGGUAACGGCCCACCAAGUCUGCGAUCGGUAGCCGGACUGAGAGGUUGAACGGCCACAUUGGGACUGAGAUACGGCCCAGACUCCUACGGGAGGCAGCAGUGGGGAAUAUUGGGCAAUGGGCGAAAGCCUGACCCAGCAACGCCGCGUGAAGGAAGAAGGCCUUCGGGUUGUAAACUUUUUUGACGAGGGACGAAGAAGUGACGGUACCUCGAAAACAAGCCACGGCUAACUACGUG